rnacentral:rRNA from 1 species
AGAGUUUGAUCCUGGCUCAGGAUGAACGCUGGCGGCGUGCCUAAUACAUGCAAGUCGAGCGAACGGACGAGAAGCUUGCUUCUCUGAUGUUAGCGGCGGACGGGUGAGUAACACGUGGAUAACCUACCUAUAAGACUGGGAUAACUUCGGGAAACCGGAGCUAAUACCGGAUAAUAUUUUGAACCGCAUGGUUCAAAAGUGAAAGACGGUCUUGCUGUCACUUAUAGAUGGAUCCGCGCUGCAUUAGCUAGUUGGUAAGGUAACGGCUUACCAAGGCAACGAUGCAUAGCCGACCUGAGAGGGUGAUCGGCCACACUGGAACUGAGACACGGUCCAGACUCCUACGGGAGGCAGCAGUAGGGAAUCUUCCGCAAUGGGCGAAAGCCUGACGGAGCAACGCCGCGUGAGUGAUGAAGGUCUUCGGAUCGUAAAACUCUGUUAUUAGGGAAGAACAUAUGUGUAAGUAACUGUGCACAUCUUGACGGUACCUAAUCAGAAAGCCACGGCUAACUACGUGCCAGCAGCCGCGGUAAUACGUAGGUGGCAAGCGUUAUCCGGAAUUAUUGGGCGUAAAGCGCGCGUAGGCGGUUUUUUAAGUCUGAUGUGAAAGCCCACGGCUCAACCGUGGAGGGUCAUUGGAAACUGGAAAACUUGAGUGCAGAAGAGGAAAGUGGAAUUCCAUGUGUAGCGGUGAAAUGCGCAGAGAUAUGGAGGAACACCAGUGGCGAAGGCGACUUUCUGGUCUGUAACUGACGCUGAUGUGCGAAAGCGUGGGGAUCAAACAGGAUUAGAUACCCUGGUAGUCCACGCCGUAAACGAUGAGUGCUAAGUGUUAGGGGGGUUUCCGCCCCUUAGUGCUGCAGCUAACGCAUUAAGCACUCCGCCUGGGGAGUACGACCGCAAGGUUGAAACUCAAAGGAAUUGACGGGGACCCGCACAAGCGGUGGAGCAUGUGGUUUAAUUCGAAGCAACGCGAAGAACCUUACCAAAUCUUGACAUCCUUUGACAACUCUAGAGAUAGAGCCUUCCCCUUCGGGGGACAAAGUGACAGGUGGUGCAUGGUUGUCGUCAGCUCGUGUCGUGAGAUGUUGGGUUAAGUCCCGCAACGAGCGCAACCCUUGAGCUUAGUUGCCAUCAUUAAGUUGGGCACUCUAAGUUGACUGCCGGUGACAAACCGGAGGAAGGUGGGGAUGACGUCAAAUCAUCAUGCCCCUUAUGAUUUGGGCUACACACGUGCUACAAUGGACAAUACAAAGGGCAGCGAAACCGCGAGGUCAAGCAAAUCCCAUAAAGUUGUUCUCAGUUCGGAUUGUAGUCUGCAACUCGACUACAUGAAGCUGGAAUCGCUAGUAAUCGUAGAUCAGCAUGCUACGGUGAAUACGUUCCCGGGUCUUGUACACACCGCCCGUCACACCACGAGAGUUUGUAACACCUGAAGCCGGUGGAGUAACCUUUUAGGAGCUAGCCGUCGAAGGUGGGACAAAUGAUUGGGGUGAAGUCGUAACAAGGUAGCCGUAUCGGAAGGUGCGGCUGGAUCACCU